rnacentral:lncRNA from 1 species
AGUUAGCUUUUGAUAGAUUGACUUGGAAGUAUGUUGAGUUUUUUAAAAAUAUGGCUGUCUACUUUGAAUUUGAAUUCACUUAAUAUUUCAAUAACUUGGAAUAUUAUUUUUAGGCAUAGUACUUGUUAUUUCAAAAAAUUGUUAUAUAUUGGAUUAAUUAUGUAACACAAAUAUGAAAUAAACAUAUGAGUUUCUACUUACAUAAAUAAAUAAUUGAGUAAAGAAAUGUGUCAGAGAAGAGGUACAUCUUCCUUACAGAACAAUUCCAAAUAAUAAUAUAUGUAGAUAAUACCCACUUCAAGGGAGGAGGCUUAAUCUCCUAUCCCCCAAGUUUGGACGGGACUUAGCCAGUUUCUUGUAAAAAAUGAACGACAGAAGGAGAAAAAUAGUAACUUUACAGUUGAGAAAGCUGGCAAAUACUACCUUAACUAAACGAUGUUGUGCAGAUAUCAUGUAUUCACUGAUAUGAUAUGAUGGAAAAAGUACUACAGCUGUGUAAUAUUCUCUCCAAAACCCAUAACCCAAGUGUAGUCAUGAGAAAAAUAUCAGACUAACCCAAAUUGAGGGACCUUCUAACACACACCUGACCAGUACUUCUCAAAACUGUCAAAAUCAUGAAAAAGACAGAAAGAGUAAGAAACUGUCACCCACAGUUAGAGACUAAGGUGACGUGACAGCCAAGAACACUACGGUAUCCUGGAUAGAACCUGGAAUAAACAAAGGACACUAAUAGAAAAUUGGUGAAAUCUAAAUAAAGUAUGGAGUUCAGUGACAAGGAAUGUACCAAUGUCGGUGUCUCAGUUGUGAGGAAUUUACCAUGGUAAUAUAAGAUGAUAAGAUUAGGGAAACUGAAACCGGAUAAAGAGUGUAUGGGGAUGCUGUAUUUUCUUUGUAAUUUUUCUCUAAAUAUAAAGGUAUAUUUUUUUAAAAUGUAGUUAUAUGUGUGAGAGAUUAUUCUUUGAAGCUGUCAUUUUAUAUCUGAGCUUUCUUUUAAAAAAUUACUUCAGAUGUAUCGGAACAGUACAACAUCUAAAGAGUAAAUUUGGAAAAGGCUACUUUUUGGAAAUUAAAUUGAAGGACUGGAUAGAAAACCUAGAAGUAGACCGCCUUCAAAGAGAAAUUCAGUAUAUUUUCCCAAAUGCAAGCCGUCAGGAAAGUUUUUCUUCUAUUUUGGCUUAUAAAAUUCCUAAGGAAGAUGUUCAGUCCCUUUCACAAUCUUUUUUUAAGCUGGAAGAAGGUAAGUAGUAUCUUCUAUUUUGGCUUAUAAAAUUCCUAAGGAAGAUGUUCAGUCCCUUUCACAAUCUUUUUUUAAGCUGGAAGAAGGUAAGUAGUUGAAAAGCACUUAUGUUGUAGCUCUCAAAUUAUGAAAGAAUUUUAUUUAAAAAGUUUAAAACUGGGGACUCGGUUUAUUUUAGAAACUAUGGCAGAUAAGAAGAUAACCUUUUAUUCAUUUAAUCUAAGACACAGGUAAACACUAAUGUCAUAGGGAUUUUGUAGAUAAACUCUAUUGUAAUGUAAACCUUUUACAAUUUUUAGAGAGCAUUGACACAGUUUAUCACAUUGCAUCUAUGAGAAGGGUCAGCUUAAUUAUCGAGUCUUUGCAGUUAGUCCAGCAGCAAGAGCUCUGAGUUUCUUGAAUCCUUACUUCAUACUGGUCCAUAGAAGUAGCAACACUAUCAAGACUCCAGUGGCAAAGAGAAUUCUGAGUGUAGCGAGGGGUGGGCAGUCCCCAAAAUUUUAAGGAAGCUUAUAGAAUCUUGGCAUUUAAAAAAUAAGUGGUAUGUAGGAUAAAUAUAUAUAUGCUGGUGACAGUUGAGGGAGAUCACCUCCUGGAAGAAUCAGGUAUUCAUAUGC